rnacentral:rRNA from 1 species
UGGGGAAUAUUGGGCAAUGGAGGGAACUCUGACCCAGCGACGCCGCGUGCGGGAUGAAGGCCUUCGGGUUGUAAACCGCUUUCAGCAGGGAAGAAGCGAAAGUGACGGUACCUGCAGAAGAAGCACCGGCUAACUAUGUGCCAGCAGCCGCGGUAAUACAUAGGGGGCUAGCGUUGUUCGGAUUUACUGGGCGUAAAGCGCGUGUAGGCGGGUCGUUAAGUUGGGGGUGAAAUCCCGAGGCUCAACCUCGGAACUGCCUUCAAAACUGGCGACCUGGACCUAAGUAGAGGCAAGUGGAAUUGCGAGUGUAGAGGUGAAAUUCGUAGAUAUUCGCAGGAACACCAGUGGCGAAGGCGACUUGCUGGACUUAUGGUGACGCUGAGACGCGAAAGCGUGGGGAGCAAACAGGAUUAGAUACCCAGGUAGUCCCUGAGCGGGCUGGCAAGGCGCAU